GACAGAGGGUGCAAACGUUGUUCGAAUUACUGGGCGUAAAGCGCGUGUAGGCGGCUAAGUAAGUCGGGCGUGAAAUCCCACGGCUCAACCGUGGAAGUGCACUCGAAACUGCGUAGCUAGAGUCUCGGAGAGGAAGGCGGAAUGCUUGGUGUAGAGGUGAAAUUCGUAGAUAUCAAGCGGAACACCGGUGGCGAAGGCGGGUCUCUGGGCCGAUACUGACGCUGAGGAGCGAAAGCGUGGGGAGCGAACAGG
rnacentral:rRNA from 1 species